CAGAUGAUACAGUGUUCAAGGCACCAUCUCGGAAGCAGAGAAACCGGGUCCCAACCCGCCAGCACCUUGGACUUCUCGGCCUCCAGAAGUCUGCCAAGACAUGUGCGGAAGACCCCAGAUGCUUUCCAAGUGCCCCUGUCACAGCAGAGCUUGGAUGAGCAAGAGGAGGUGGAGCGUCUGAACUUUUCCAGGGGCCACUUGAGGAAGGGGUUUCUGGACAUGGCUGGUUUGGAGCAAGGCUUUGAGAAGGAGGACUUCGGGCACAUGACGGAUUUGGGCCACGAUGACGCCGGGCUGCCUCUCACUAGCCUCUCUGUGAUGAUCUCCAACAGUAACUGGUGA
rnacentral:lncRNA from 1 species